AUUGAACGCUGGCGGCAUGCCUUACACAUGCAAGUCGAACGGUAACAGGUCUUCGGAUGCUGACGAGUGGCGAACGGGUGAGUAAUACAUCGGAACGUGCCCGAUCGUGGGGGAUAACGCAGCGAAAGCUGUGCUAAUACCGCAUACGAUCUACGGAUGAAAGCGGGGGAUCGCAAAACCUCGCGCGGACGGAGCGGCCGAUGGCAGAUUAGGUAGUUGGUGGGGUAAAGGCUCACCAAGUCUGCGAUCUGUAGCUGGUCUGAGAGGACGACCAGCCACACUGGGACUGAGACACGGCCCAGACUCCUACGGGAGGCAGCAGUGGGGAAUUUUGGACAAUGGGCGCAAGCCUGAUCCAGCCAUGCCGCGUGCAGGAUGAAGGCCUUCGGGUUGUAAACUGCUUUUGUACGGAACGAAAAGGUUCUUUCUAAUAAAGAGAGCUCAUGACGGUACCGUAAGAAUAAGCACCGGCUAACUACGUGCCAGCCGCCGCCGUAAAAC
rnacentral:rRNA from 1 species